rnacentral:rRNA from 1 species
AGAGUUUGAUCCUGGCUCAGGAUGAACGUUGGCGGUGUGCCUAAUACAUGCAAGUCGAACGGUGACGAUUUUGUAGCAAUACGAAUGAAAUCAUAGUGGCGAACGGGUGAGUAACGCGUUGGUGAUCUGCCUCGAAGUGUGGAAUAACUUCCCGAAAGGGGUAGCUAAUACCGCAUAGUCUCUCAAGGUUUAGAAAAUUGAGAGUAAAGGAUUUAUUCGCUUCGAGAGGAGCCUGCGUCCCAUCAGCUAGUUGGUAGGGUAAUAGCCUACCAAGGCAAUGACGGGUAGGGGACCUGAGAGGGUGGCCCCCCACAAUGGAACUGAAACACGGUCCAUACACCUACGGGUGGCAGCAGUAGGGAAUAUUAGAAAUGGGCGAAAGCCUGAUCUAGCAACACCGCGUGUGCGAUGAAGGCCUUCGGGUUGUAAAGCACUUUUUGGAGGGAAUAGGAAGGAAGGUACCUCCAGAAUAAGUCUCGGCUAACUACGUGCCAGCAGCCGCGGUAACACGUAGGAGGCAAACGUUAUCCGGAUUCACUGGGCGUAAAGCGCGUGUAGGUGGUUCUGUAAGUAGGGCGUGAAAGCUCCCGGCUCAACUGGGAGAGGCCGUACUAAACUGCAGAGCUAGAGGAUGGUAGAGGGAGGUGGAAUUCCAGGUGUAGUGGUGAAAUGCGCAGAUAUCUGGAGGAACACCAGUGGCGAAGGCGGCCUCCUGGACCAUUCCUGACACUCAGACGCGAAAGCUAGGGUAGCAAACGGAAUUAGAGACUCCGGUAGUCCUAGCCCUAAACGAUGCAGACUAGGCGUCGGCGGUUUAAUCACCGUCGGUGUCCAAGCUAACGCGAUAAGUCUGCCGCCUGAGGACUACGGCCGCAAGGCUAAAACUCAAAGGAAUUGACGGGUCCCCGCACAAGCAGCGGAGCGUGUGGUUUAAUUCGAUGCUUCGCGAAGAACCUUACCUGGGUUUGACAUAACAGUGGUAGAGAAGUGAAAACGGAUCGACCCUUCGGGGAGCUGUUACAGGUGUUGCAUGCCUGUCGUCAGCUCGUGUCGUGAGAUGUUCGGUUAAGUCCGCUAACGAGCGCAACCCGCGCUGUGUGUUACAAGUGUCACACAGUACCGCCGGUAUUAAGUCGGAGGAAGGUGCGGAUGACGUCAAGUCAGCAUGACCUUUAUAUCCAGGGCUACACACACGCUACAAUGGUCAGAACAAUAGGUUGCCAAGCCGCAAGGCGGAGCCAAUCCUCCAAAUCUGGCCUCAGUUCGGAUUGCAGGCUGCAACUCGCCUGCAUGAAGUCGGAGUUGCUAGUAAUCGCGAAUCAGCAUGUCGGGGUGAAUACGUUCCCGGGCCUUGUACUCACCGCCCGUCAAG